GUUUGAUCCUGGCUCAGAAUGAACGUUGGCGGCGUGGAUUAGGCAUGCAAGUCGAGCGCGAAGUCUCCUUCGGGAGGCGGAAAGCGGCGAAAGGGAGAGUAAUGUGUGGAUUAUCUACCCCCAGGCCCGGGAUAGCUGCGGGAAACUGCAGGUAAUACCGGAUAACAUCUCCGGAUCAAAGGUGUGAUUCCGCCUGAGGAUGAGUCCACAUCCUAUUAGCUUGUUGGUGGGGUAAUGGCCUACCAAGGCAACGAUGGGUACCGGGUGUGAGAGCACGACCCGGCUCACUGGGACUGAGACACUGCCCAGACACCUACGGGUGGCUGCAGUCGAGAAUCUUCGGCAAUGGGCGAAAGCCUGACCGAGCGACGCCGCGUGCGGGAUGAAGGCCUUCGGGUUGUAAACCGCUGCCGGAGGGGAGGAAAUCUCGGGGGGUAAUCUCCUCGAGUUGACCUAUCUUCAGAGGAAGUACGGGCUAAGUUCGUGCCAGCAGCCGCGGUAAGACGAACCGUACAAACGUUAUUCGGAAUCACUGGGCUUAAAGGGUGCGUAGGCGGCCCGGAAAGUUGGGUGUGAAAUCCCUCGGCUCAACCGAGGAAUUGCGCCCAAAACUACCGGGCUUGAGGAAGACAGAGGCAAGCGGAACUUAGGGUGGAGCGGUGAAAUGCGUUGAUAUCCUAAGGAACACCGGUAGCGAAGGCGGCUUGCUGGGUCUUUUCUGACGCUGAGGCACGAAAGCUAGGGGAGCGA
rnacentral:rRNA from 1 species